AUAAGACUUCCACAAUAUACCCCGUUUAUUUAUUUAUUUUACAAUUUUGUUAUUGCUUCUUUUUUAAACAGCAGCUGCCGAUUAAACUGAAAGUUACAACCCUGA